rnacentral:tRNA from 1 species
UAUAAUUUAAUGUAGGAUGCAUUUAAUUUUUUGAAAAUUACUGAUAAAGUCUAAUUCUUUAAAUUAUAA